rnacentral:rRNA from 1 species
GAGAGUUUGAUUCUGGCUCAGGACGAACGCUGGCGGCGUGCCUAACACAUGCAAGUCGAACGGGGUGAUUCCUUCGGGGAUCACUUAGUGGCGAACGGGUGAGUAACGCGUGAAGAACCUGCCUUUCAGUGGGGGACAACAGUUGGAAACGACUGCUAAUACCGCAUGACACUUCUUGGAGGCAUCUCUGAGAAGUCAAAGCUUUAUGUGCUGAAAGAUGGCUUCGCGUCUGAUUAGCUGGUUGGCGGGGUAACGGCCCACCAAGGCGACGAUCAGUAGCCGGUCUGAGAGGAUGAACGGCCACAUUGGGACUGAGAUACGGCCCAGACUCCUACGGGAGGCAGCAGUGGGGAAUAUUGGGCAAUGGGGGAAACCCUGACCCAGCAACGCCGCGUGAAGGAAGAAGGCCCUCGGGUUGUAAACUUCUUUUACCAGGGACGAAGGACGUGACGGUACCUGGAGAAAAAGCAACGGCUAA